CUGACGCGGAGUCACAGUUUAAGUGAAGUGAGCGACUAACAAUGAAGCUAUCCUGUCUGCUUACCCUCCUGACGGUCGGGAUGGUGGUGGGCGUGGUCCAGGUGGCAGGCUCACCAGUCAACUCGGCACGUGCUGACUGUCCUAACCCCGCCCUGCCGUGUGUCAGUCAAUGUCUGGUCAUGCUCUGUGCCCCUGGGACCAACUGUGUGACAGACUGCCACUGUAGGAGCUCAUGCCAACACAUCUAGAGACGGAAUCUGAUCCCCCUCACACCCACACCCUUACACCCACACCUCCUCACACCGACACACCCUCACCCUUUCACUCUCACACCAACUAGCCGUGUUCAUGUUUAGUUUUGGUGUAAUAAAUAAAGGAUAAAAAUAGU